rnacentral:rRNA from 1 species
AAGGCACAGCUACGGCGGGUGCUACACAUGCAAGUCGAACGGGAUCCAUCGGGCUUUGCUUGGUGGUGAGAGUGGCGAACGGGUGAGUAAUGCGUGACCGACCUGCCCCAUGCACCGGAAUAGCUCCUGGAAACGGGUGGUAAUGCCGGAUGCUCCAUCACACCGCAUGGUGUGUUGGGAAAGCCUUUGCGGCAUGGGAUGGGGUCGCGUCCUAUCAGCUUGAUGGCGGGGUAACGGCCCACCAUGGCUUCGACGGGUAGCCGGCCUGAGAGGGCGACCGGCCACAUUGGGACUGAGAUACGGCCCAGACUCCUACGGGAGGCAGCAGUGGGGAAUAUUGCACAAUGGGCGCAAGCCUGAUGCAGCGACGCCGCGUGAGGGAUGGAGGCCUUCGGGUUGUAAACCUCUUUUGUUAGGGAGCAAGGCACUUUGUGUUGAGUGUACCUUUCGAAUAAGCACCGGCUAACUACGUGCCAGCAGCCGCGGUAAUACGUAGGGUGCAAGCGUUAUCCGGAAUUAUUGGGCGUAAAGGGCUCGUAGGCGGUUCGUCGCGUCCGGUGUGAAAGUCCAUCGCUUAACGGUGGAUCCGCGCCGGGUACGGGCGGGCUUGAGUGCGGUAGGGGAGACUGGAAUUCCCGGUGUAACGGUGGAAUGUGUAGAUAUCGGGAAGAACACCAAUGGCGAAGGCAGGUCUCUGGGCCGUUACUGACGCUGAGGAGCGAAAGCGUGGGGAGCGAACAGGAUUAGAUACCCUGGUAGUCCACGCCGUAAACGGUGGAUGCUGGAUGUGGGGCCCGUUCCACGGGUUCCGUGUCGGAGCUAACGCGUUAAGCAUCCCGCCUGGGGAGUACGGCCGCAAGGCUAAAACUCAAAGAAAUUGACGGGGGCCCGCACAAGCGGCGGAGCAUGCGGAUUAAUUCGAUGCAACGCGAAGAACCUUACCUGGGCUUGACAUGUUCCCGACGAUCCCAGAGAUGGGGUUUCCCUUCGGGGCGGGUUCCACAGGUGGUGCAUGGUCGUCGUCAGCUCGUGUCGUGAGAUGUUGGGUUUAAGUUUGCA